rnacentral:rRNA from 1 species
UGGGGAAUAUUGGGCAAUGGGGGAAACCCUGACCCAGCGACGCCGCGUGAGGGAAGAAGGUUUUCGGAUUGUAAACCUCUGUCCUUGGUGACGAUAAUGACGGUAGCCAAGGAGGAAGCCACGGCUAACUACGUGCCAGCAGCCGCGGUAAUACGUAGGUGGCGAGCGUUGUCCGGAAUUACUGGGUGUAAAGGGAGCGUAGGCGGGAGAGCAAGUCGACUGUGAAAUCUAUGGGCUUAACCCAUAGCUGCGAUCGAAACUGUUCAUCUUGAGUGAAGUAGAGGCAGGCGGAAUUCCUAGUGU